rnacentral:rRNA from 1 species
GACGAACGCUGGCGGCGUGCUUAACACAUGCAAGUCGAACGGAAAGGCCCUGCUUUUGUGGGGUGCUCGAGUGGCGAACGGGUGAGUAACAAGUGAGUAACCUGCCCUUGACUUUGGGAUAACUUCAGGAAACUGGGGCUAAUACCGGAUAGGAGCUCCUGCUGCAUGGUGGGGGUUGGAAAGUUUCGGCGGUUGGGGAUGGACUCGCGGCUUAUCAGCUUGUUGGUGGGGUAGUGGCUUACCAAGGCUUUGACGGGUAGCCGGCCUGAGAGGGUAACCGGCCACAUGGGGACUGAGAUGAGGCCGUGACUCUUACGGGAGACAGCAGGGAGGAAUAUUGAACAAGGGGCAGAAGCCUGAUGCAGCAACGCCGCGUGCGGGAUGACGGCCUUCGGGUUGUAAGCCGCUUUAGCCUGUGACGAAGCGUGAGGGACGGUAAUAGGUAAAGAAGCAGCGGCUAACUACGU